rnacentral:rRNA from 1 species
AUUGAACGCUGGCGGCAGGCCUAACACAUGCAAGUCGAACGAGUGGCGGACGGGUGAGUAAUGUCUGGGAAACUGCCUGAUGGCGGGGGAUAACUACUGGCAACUGUAUCUAAUACCGCAUACCCUCAUAUAUGCCCAGAUGGGUUUCUCUUGUUGGUGGGGUAACGGCUCAACAGGGAGACGAUCCCUAGCUGGUCUGAGAGGAUGACCACCCACACUGGGACUGAGACACGGUCCAGACUCCUACCCUGAUCAUCAGUACAUAAUAUUGGACAAUGGGCUAAAGCCUGAUCCAGCCAUGCCGCGUGUAUGAAGAAGGCCUUCGGGUUGUAAAGUACUUUCAGCAGAGAAGCGUUAUCCGCAGAAGAAGCACCGGCUAACUCCGUGCCAGCAGCCGCGGUAAUUC